rnacentral:lncRNA from 1 species
ACUCAGCGGGCGCUCUGCUGACUGAGAGGCUCGGGUAAGCUCGCGGGGUGGCGGGCGCGGGGAUGAGCGCGGCAGACCGCAAAAAAGCCGAAGUCAGAGGACGACCCAGAACUUGGCUUCCCCGAGCCGCGGGUCGCCUUCCCGGGACGUCGGCCUGGCCCCCUCGGAGGCCCAUCCUCCCUCGGGGACUCCCUUCCUCAGGGACCCCCUCCACACUCAGUAGUCCUCGCCAGCCUCAGAGAGGUUUCCGCCACGCCUGCCACCCGCCUGGGCCGUGUUACCCACGUGUUUUGUCUUCAUAACGUGGGUGGCGGGCUCCCUUUGUUCUGGGUCGCUUUGCAGGGUCCAGGUCGUUUUCUCUUCACCAGGACCCCACGAGUUGCUGCUUUCCUCACAGCAGCCCGGAGUCCCGGGGGAGCGCGGCGGGGGCCGCCCCAGGCAGGCUGGCUUCAUUCCCAGGCUGCUGCCGAUGCGUGUCUGGCCGAGUGAUCUCUGCUAAACAGAAGAAUCUCAAGAAAUGGCAAGGGAUGGAGGCAGGGAUGGGUGCCAAAGACACAUGAAUGAGAACAAAGCCUGGUUUUGAUCCAAAGAAUUGAAAAGACCAUAGCGAGGGGCAACAUAGGGAGACCCCACCUCUACAAAAAAAAAAA